CGUACAAGAUCCAAUUAACCUAUUACCCCAUUACAUUUUAACCCAACAAUAAACGGGGCCCAAAUGGCCCAAGUUACUAAACAGAAGACAGAGAAGCCUAGGGUUUCAGAAACCUUAGGCGCCGCAAUCAACGCGUCUCCUCAAUGCCUGUUGUUCCAGCUACUCAUCACAGCCACGAUUCCACGCUCCAAGUCACGCCGUGAUCACCACCACUGACAGAUCUACGUUACCAGCGCGAUCAAACGCCGAAUUUUCCUCGCGAAUACCUGCAAAAAAGGAAAAAAAGAACAGCAGCGAACAAACAAAAUGGGAAGAAAUAAAGAUUCCUUACCAAAAUAUGUUGUAAACAAUGGCUAUAAAAAGCCCAAAUCGAGAAGAUGUAAAGGACUGAUUCUCACGUUUUGGAAUACAUAUACAGAUUCAAUAAAAAAAUUUAUUUUUACAUACACAGCAAAGACCAGCAGUCAAUCGAAAGAAGAGGUGAUUCAUUUUAUUUUAUUUUCUUUCUGUUCUAAAUAUAUACUGAUAAAUACUAAAGGAUAAUAAAGUUACCCUUUUUUUGUCGUAAAACGGAACACUGACCGCUGUACAUGGCGAGGUCAGUGAGGGCGCGUGAAGCGCGUGUGGCCGAAGGCGGUGGAGCUCCGAGACAAGCUAGGACGGCCAUUGGCCAAAGCUCUGAGAGAUUUUUUAAAGCUCUUUUUUUUUCUGAUUGAAUGUUUAAAAUGAAGGUUUAAAGUUUUUUUUUUACUUUUAUAACAUCAGUAAAACGACGCCGUUUUAGCUUAAUUCAAUAAGCCUAAAACGACGUUGUUUCGAGGCGAGGAUCCGCUCAAACCUGAUUACCCGGGGAGGAUCCGCGUGUUUUUUAAAAUUGGGUUAAUUACCCAAUUAGUCCUUUCGAUUUUUUAAUGUUUAUACUUUUAUUUUAUUUAUAUUCUAAUUUGUCCCUAACUGUUUACCUAUGUUCCAAUUUAGUCCAAAUGGUGAUUUUAAAUAGUAUUCUGGAGAAACGGUGGCAUUUUGGGAUUAGGGCCAAUUGCCCAGUGAGUCCCUCGGUUUUUAUGUGUUUUCCUAAUUGGCUCAGAUUCUUUUUAUAUUCUUUUAAUUAACCCAAAGUUUUCAUUUUUUUAAAAAUUUUAAUCCUUUUACAUAUUUUUUAAUUUAUUUUAAAUACUUUAUAUAUUAGUUGAUUUUAUAAAUAUUAGUUAUAUAAAAUGAUAUAUAUAUUAUUUUUAUAUAUUAUCUGUCAUAUUAUAUUAGUAUUAUUUAUUUUUAAAUUAUAUGUAAUUAAAUUUUAUUAUAUUAUAUUGUGUUAUAUAGUAGAUGUAUUGUUAAUAAUUUAUUAAUUAAAUAUUUUUUAUGUAUAUAUUUUUAAUGAUAAUAAAAUAAAUAAUAAUUUUUUAUAUUAUUAUAUGUUUCCUUUAAAAUUUUAUAUACAUUAUAUUAUAUUAUUUUAUAUUUUAUCGUACAUUUAUCUCUUAAUAUAUAUAUAUCAUCAUAAAUAAUUUUUUUUAAAAAUUGUAUAAGUUACUAUUAAACAUUUUUUAUAUAUACUAUUAAAUAUUUAAAAUUUAUUUAUCAUUACAUUAUUUUAUAUAUUGUUAUAUUUUAUAUUAUUUAUAUAUUAAAUGCUAGCUGCAUAAUAUUAUUAAAUAUUGUUUGUUUGAUGUAUAUAUGUUAUUUUUUUUUAUAUAUUAUCACAUUUAUUUAUAUAUAUAUAUCUAUAUGUUUAAUUAUAUAUCAUGCAUUGUUUUUAAACUAAUUAUUACUUUGAGUGUUUGUAUAUUCUGCUUAUUUCUCUUCAAUAUAUGCUAUGUAUAUCUUAAUAUGUAUGUUGUUAUGUAACUAAGAUUUGCUAUAUUCAUGUAUGUAUCUACCAUAGGAUCUUUAGAUUAUUGCUAUCAUAUUAUUUAAAUGCAUGUUUUAGCUACCUAUUAUUGUGAUAUGCUAUAUGUUAUAAUGUAUAUAUAUGAUUCCUUAUACAUUAAUUAAAAACGAGAUUCAAAAGUUUUCAAAAAUAAAAAGGCAAUGCUUGGUAUUUGGAAACUUCGAAAAGGUAGUGCCCUAACUUAUUGGGUUGCAACUUUUCUCGUUGAGUUCAAAUAGUUAAGCACCCUUCUAAGUUUUAAGGUUUUUAGAAUAUGAGCAACUGUCUUGGAAUUUCAAAAUGUUGUGUCCUAACUUACUGGGUAUGGCGUUUUGUUGUUUUGAGGUAAGGAUUUUCAAAAAGGGUUAGCUUAGUUUAAGAUAUCUUAAAAAUAUUAUGUCCUAACUUAUUGGAUGUAAUAUUUUGAUGAACCCUAAUUUUCAAAAUCAAAAAAUAUUAAAAGAGGAUUGCAUCUUAAAAUUUUUAAAUUUCUGACAUUAAAGACACCUGAUAAUCAAUUAGGUACCAAUUUUUGGGCGUUACGAGGGUGCUAACCCUUCCUCGUACGUAACUGACUCCCGAAUCUGUUUUCUCGACUUUCGUAGACCAGAACUAAUGAUUUUUAAACAAAAUGUUUUAAAGGUGAUCUAAUCACACCUAAAAAGAUUGGUGGCGACUCUCGUUUUCGUUGUUUAAAGGCGAUUCUCAUUUUUCUAAAACUUGAUUUAAAAAAAUGGUUUCGACAUCUUGGCGACUCCACUGGGGACCAAUAAGAGAGUCAGGUCGUGUAAUUGAUUAUCACUUGUCUUAAAGUCGGAAAUUAAAAUUUUUAAAAUUUAAUCCUCUUUGCAUUGCAUGUGUUUGUAUUAUUGCAUGUGUUGCUAUAUUCUGAUACGCAUUGCAUUUGCAUGACCGUUGUGGUCACGCCCUUAAGUGGGAGUGAGAAACUACGCCUUCGUGAGGUUUUCGCCUCCGUGCAGGAUAGUGGAUUACUUUCGGGAUACAUCCGUACCUGUGAUUUUGUGAGAUUUUCAUCUCCGUGUAGCCAUAGGGAAAUGUAUUCCCCUGAACUGAACUCGAUUCAAAUGAGCCUAUAAUGGGUGAGAAUUGAUGAAUCUGCUGGUUCGGGUACCUCAAACUUUAGAAACAACCUCAUAUAGAAAAAACCGUAAGAGCCCAACUUAGUUAGAGUUAAACUUUAGAUAUUACCCUUAUAAACUAUCGUUGAGAUUUAUCAUGUGAUACUGACUAUUUCUUUUCUUUUGUUUGCAUGUCAUUUUGCAUUUACAAAGGUAUCGAUUCACGGUCGGUUUCUAAGUUAGGAAGUUUUAUUAUGGAGAACGGACUUCUUGAUAGAGUGGAGGGCAACGCUAACGUCCAUAGAUGGUCUGAGCAAACUCAACUAGAAAAAGGUGAUAGUAUAGCUAUGGGGUAUAUGUCGGAGCUGUCAGACUACGUACACUCGCAUCAGUGUCACAUAGAAUAAUCUACAGGAGCUUAAGGAGAUUUGGGAUCAGUGGGGCAAUGAGACUAAACAGUCAUUCUAUAGUAAUUACGGAGAUUUACCUCACUUACUUGAUAUUCAGAUUGAUGAGCACUUGUUUCGAGCUCUCGCUCAGUUUUGGAACCCUCCAUACAGUUGUUUUACUUUUGGGGAGGUAGAUUUAGUGCCUACUAUGGAGGAGUACACCGCCUUACUUCGGUGUCCUAGAUUUCAGUGUGAUAGGAUUUAUUCUCGAGCUGCUUGUGUCCUAGCCUUUGGUAAGAAGCUGAUGACCAUUACGGGGAUGAGUGAGCAGUGGAUCAUGGCUAGAAUCAAGGAAAAGGGUGAGAGUAAAUGCAUUCCGUGGGGGGCUCUGAAAGAACUGAUCCAGACGCAUCCAGACGAGGCGAAGAGGGUAGACAUUUUUGUCUUAAGCUUAUACGGAUUGAUGGUUUUCCCCAGGGCCUUGGGAUAUGUAGACGAGGUGACCACGGAUCUCUUCCAUCGACUUAGUAAACAGGUCACUUCUGUUCCUGCAAUCUUGGCAGAGACAUUCAGGUCCUUGAAUGCAUGUAGGAGGGCCAGUGCAUGCAGGUUUUUUGGUUGUGCUCAGUUACUUUUAGCUUGGUUCUACAGUCACUUCCGAUUGAUAGACAAAGUGGUUUGUUGGGUCUUCUUCGAGGAUUACUCGCCGUUGAAAGAUAUAGUAGCCUCAUCUAGGAAAGUGGAUAUACCGGAAGAGAAUUGGAUAGCGUUACUACGGAACCUUCAGUCAAAAGAUGUUGAGUGGAGGGCUCUGUGGAUGAUUCCUGGUGAGAUUCUUUACCGAUGCGGCAGUUUUGAUUGGGUUCCUCUGUUGGGAAUUUGGUGUGCCAUUGGUUAUGCCCCUUUGCUUGUGUUGAGGCAGCUUGGAUUGAGGCAGUUCAUACCAGUAACUCAUGGGCUGGCUCAAAGUGAGUUCGUGUAUAGAGGAGCUGACUACAAGAGGAAAGUCAGUGAGAUCUCUAGUGCUUGGAAUAAGACUUGUCGAUUAAAAGGAGUAGCUAUUAGCCCUGCUACGACUCCGGAGUAUGUUGAAUGGAGAGGCAGAAGGAUUAAUGAUAACAUCCCUAAGCCAAGCGUGGAAGGAGCUCGACCGAUAUAGGAAUAUUUGCAAGUGAUGCCCUCGGAGUUAGAAAUUAUGAAGCAAGAGUUCGAGAGAAAGAACUUGGAGCUCAAAAAGAGGAUAGCAAAGCUUGAAGAAGAAAAGAUGUACUUAAGCUUAGACAUCGACGUUCAAAGGAUGGAGGUGGAGAAAGAGAGAAAAGAAAAGAAGAAGAUUGAGGAAGAUCGAGAUGAUCUAAAGGAGAAUUACAAAAAGGCCCAAGUAUCCUUGAAGAGAGUAAGAAUAGGAGGGUCUUCAGAUUAGUUGCAGAAAGAAGUUCAAGAGGAAAAAGCUAGAGCCGAGUACUAGGAGAGGAAGUUCCAAGAGAUGCGGUCGUAGAAUUUGGCAUUAGAGGAAGAGAAUAAAGGGUUGAAGACCAAGGUAACUGAGCUUGGAAAAUCCCUUCGUUGGCAUCGAAACUAUGAUCCUACGGUCGAGUUAAAGGAGCUAAAAAUUAAGGUUAAAGAUUUGGAAAUGGCAUUACAUGAUGGUGAACUUCGGAUUGAGCAGCUCAAGGCGCAAAAAGAUUGUAUAAAAAGAGAGCUCCAUCAAGUUAAAGGUCAAGUCAGAGAUAGGGAUUACAUUAUUGGGGAGGCUAUAGCGCAGAUUCGAGAGGUUGCUGAAUAUGUUCGAGACUUAGUAGUACGAGCUGAUGCGUUGAGUAUGAUGUAUGAGUCAACGUCUGAUAAAGGUCGAGAGUUAGCCCUUUUAUUAGAUAAAGUUAGAACUUUGGGCGUUAGGGAAAAGGCGUAUAUGUAAUCCAUUUAUAUGUAAAGAUAUUAUUUUUUUAAAUAAAGUUUUCUAAAUGAGAUUGAAUCGAGGUCGAUGCCUUUUUGCAUUCAUGCAUUUGCAUUACAUCACAUCAUAUGUAUUCAAAAUUAUAGAAAGACCCUAGUUAGUUAAAAUUUACUCCCAGAGAAAGAGAGGUAGAAAAGGAAAUUUGGAAAUCACACAUCCUUACGACACUCGCACUAAAACUAAGAGUAUGGAUCAAAGGUUCGAACAAUUGCAAAAGGAUAUGCAAGAUCAAUUGUAAGAGCAGUUGGCCAAAAUGCAGAAUGACAUGAGGGAGCAAAUGCUAGAGGCUCAGAGGAAUAUGAUGGCUGAAAUGGCUCAGCUGUUAAGGGCCACUGAUAAAGGAAAAGCUCCUAUGGCAAUCACUAAAGAGGAGAAUAAGGGUCCUCUUCCGGGUUUUACUCCGCCUCAUGUGCCACUGCAAACCGAGGAACAACUUAGAAGGCCAUCUGUCACUGUGAGACCUCAACAUGGGCCGAUUGAUGUUGGAAUCCCUGUGAAUUUCCAAUCUGGGUCGGGAAAUAAUUUGGGUGAUAGCCCGAUCAACCCUAUCACUCUUGAUCUGGAUCUGAUGGAGAAGGAAAGAAUGGCAACCGAAUCCUCAAAAUAGUUGGAGGAUCGUUUCAAGUGGCUAGAGGAGAAGUUUAGGGUUUUGAAAGGCACUGGCCAUCAUCAUGGGAUUGAUGCCAAAGACUUAAGUUUGGUCCCAGACUUGGUACUUCCUCACAAAUUCAAGAUACCGGAGUUUGAAAAAUACAACGGGACUACUUGCCCAGAGGUACACAUAACAAUGUUUUGUAGGAAAAUGACUGGGUAUGUGAGAAAUAAUCAACUAUUGAUCCAUUAUUUUCAAGAUAGCUUAAUAGGAGCAGUGGCUAGGUGGUACAAUCAAUUGAGCCGUGCAAGAAUUGGUUCAUGGAGAGAUCUUGCACAAGCUUUCAUGCAACAGUACAACCAUGUGACUGAUAUGACGCCAGACAAGAUCACGCUUCAAAACAUGGAGAAAAAGCCUAAUGAAAGUUUUAGGCAAUAUGCACAACGAUGGAGGGAGGUGGCAAUGCAAGUACAACCACCACUGUUAGAAAGGGAGACCACCAUGUUAUUUAUCAACACUUUAAAGACACCGUUCAUCACUCACAUGAUUGGAAGCACCACGAAAAGUUUCGCGGAUAUAGUUAUGGCAGGAGAGAUGAUUGAGAAUGCCAUAAGGGGUGGUAAAAUUGAGGGGGAAAUGGCUAAAAGAUCGGCCCCAAGGAGAAAGGAUAACAAGGUGAACAACAUGAAUAGCCUCAACUCGAAGACAAUUACAGUUGGUCAACCCAAAGCAGCUGUGGUCGAAUAACAAAGUACUCGAAGACAGGAAUCGGGCACAAGACAGAAUUCGAAAAGGAUGCAAUUCACGCCUAUCCCUGUGACGUAUUGUGAGCUUUAUCAAAGCUUAUACGAUGCACAUGCCAUUGUUCCAUUUCACUUAAAACCAUUACAGCCACCGUACCCCAAAUGGUAUGAUGCAAAUGCUAAAUGCGAAUAUCACGCGGGAAUAUCGGGCCAUUCGAUUGAAAAUUGCACUGGAUUCAAGAAGGUCAUAGAGAGGCUUAUCAAGAUGGGGGUUGUGAAAUUCGACAAUACCCCUAAUACUGAAAAUCCAUUACCAGAUCAUGGCAAUUAAGGAGUGAAUGCCAUCGAUAAAACAAGGGAAGAAAGAAUCAAGGUGGAUAUUGCUAAGGUGAAGACACCCAUGAAAGUAAUAUGGAAGGAGAUGGUGAAGAGAGGUAUGUUGACCUCUGGAAAAGGUAGAAGAGGAAUAAAGAAUUAUUGUGAAUUCCAUGGAGAGGUGGGUCAUAUGAUCCAAAAUUGUGAGGAGUUCAAGGCCAUGGUGCAAGUUCUUAUGUUUAACAAAGAGCUAUAGAUUUUUGAGGGUAGUUCUUACAAAAGACAAAUAUGUAUGCUGGAAAACGAACGAUAAGGAACCAGCCGGCUAAGAAUUAUUAUUUCCUUACCGGGGAAUAGUGAAGUGGGGGCGCAAACCGGGCCCAGCGUUGUCAUCCAUAAACCUAAUCCUUUCCCUACAAGGAUGACAAGAGGGUGCCAUGGAAUUAUGAUUGCAGUGUAACAGUACCUGAGAGGGAGAGUAUAGCCAGUGCGUCUAGGGGCGUGCAAAAUAAAGGUUCCCAUAUGCAGAGUGGGAAAUGUUAUGAUACAGGGGGCGUCAGAGUGGAACUCACAAGGACAAAAUGUGUCGAGGUUGAGAAGGAGAAAGAGACCGAAGUACCCAUCAAUGAGUCGGUGAAGGAGGAGGAGGCUAAGAAGUUCCUAAAGUUCCUUAAGAAUAGCGAGUAUAGUGUGGUCGAGUAGUUGCGUAAGCAGCCAGCGCGUAUAUCAGUAUUAGCCCUACUUCUGAGUUCUGAGGUGCAUCGGGAUGCAUUAUUGAAGGUGCUUAAUGAAACAUAUGUCACCCAUGACAUAUCCAUUAACAAGUUAGACCGGUUGGUAAAUAACAUCAGUGCUGGCAAUUUCAUCUACUUCAAUGAUGAUGAAAUUCCACUUGGGGGCAUAGGGUCAACCAAAGCCUUGCACGUCACUACUCGAUGCAAAGGAUACAUGCUGCCAAGUGUACUCGUUGAUAAUGGGUCUGCGUUGAACGUCCUUCCAUUAUCCACAUUGAAUAGACUACCCAUUGACAGUUCACAUAUGAACACAUGUCACAACGUGGUAAGAGCUUUUGAUGGAACUGAAAGAAAAGUGAUGAGACGAAUCGACAUCCCUUUGGAAAUUGAACCAAAUAAAUAUGAAGUUGAUUUCUUGGUGAUGGAUAUCAAGCCCUCCUAUAAUUGUUUAUUGGGGAGACCAUGGAUACACUCGGCAGGAGCAGUGCCCUCCUCAUUGCACCAGAAAUUGAAGUUAGUAACAGAUGGACGGUUAAUAACCAUCAAUAUGGAGGAGGACAUUAUAACAGCAGCCACUAGCAAGGCCCCUUAUGUCGAGGCUAAUGAAGAGGCUAUUGAGUGUUCUUUUCGCUAUUUACAAAUUAUCAAUGCAACCUUCAUUUUGGAAGGAAGUGAGGUAUCGGUACCUAAAAUGUCUAGAGCCGUAAGGAUGGCCCUACAAAUGAUGAUGGGGAAGGGAGCAUUACCAGGAAAAGGGCUAGGAAGACAAUUGCAAGGAGGGGUUCAAAUCCCAAGACUGAUGGAGAAGAAAGAUCGCUUUGGUUUAGGCUUCAAGCCGGACCAUAAGCACAAGAGGCAAGAGACUGAGAGACACCAAGCGAGAAGAAAGGCGCGUUUGAACGAAGGAGAAGUGGAGUGGGAACCGAUGACAUUCCCACUUAUAUACAAAUAUUUUAAGUCAGGAGGGUUAUUGGUAGAAGAAAGUCAUCAAAUUAAUGUUGUACACAAUGAGGGAUUGGUACAAGAAAACCUCGAGGGCAUUCACCCUUACGAACCGGGGAGCUCUCUGAACAAUUGGACUGCGGAGGACCUUUCUGUAGUCUUUAGGAAUUUUUCAGAGUAAUUCUCGAAACAUGUUUGUUACUCUAGGGCCUAGGAGUAGUAAGAUUACGUUUGUGAAAAUAGGCUUAUGUUCAUCUAUUAUUAUUUAAAUAAAACAUAACUUUUAUCAAUUUAAAUGCGUAUUGUAUCAUUUUUAUCAACCAAUAUUCCUUUAAAUUUUGGCAAUUCUUAUUCUUUUAUUCAUAGCACAUAAACAAUCAUUCUUAGAUUCAUUCAUUCUUUGUAUAUUCUUUCAUACCCCCACAGGUACCUAGAUAUCAAUGAUAUGAGCACUGAUACUAUAGCUCCUGAUUUCUCUUGCGAGCAAGACAUGUGUUUAGAGGAACCUCAGGAUUUUAAAGAUGUUCAAGAUUGUGACGUAUCUCUUGAUCUAUUAAGAAUGGUAAAGCAGGAGGAGAAACAAAUCAUGCCACAUGAGAAAGAGGCAAUAGAGAAUAUAGCCCUAGAGGAAGGGAAGGAGUUGAAAAUUGGAACACUGAUUACCGAGGACAUAAGGCAUGGUUUGGUUGAGUUGCUUCGAGAGUUCAAGGAUAUCUUCGCCUGGUCAUAUCAAGAUAUGCCUGGAUUGAGUACUGACAUUGUAGUACAUCGUCUUCCGAUAAGACAGGAUUAUAAGCCAGUCCAACAAAAGUUACAAAGAAUGAGACCAGAUAUUGUUCUAAAAAUAAAGGAUGAAGUCAAGAAGCAGUUCGAUGCAGGAUUCUUGUAGGAAGUGAAGUACUCCAAAUGGGUAGCUAACAUUGUACCAGUUCCUAAGAAAGAUGGAAAAAUACGAAUGUGUGUUGAUUACAGAGAUUUAAAUAAAGCUAGCCUCAAAGAUAAUUUCCCUCUGCCACACAUAGACACUUUGGUGGAUAACACAGCAGAAUAUUCGUUGUUUUCCUUCAUGGAUGGUUUCUUAGGAUACAAUCAGAUAAAGAUGCAUCUAGAGGAUAUGGAUAAAACCACCUUCAUAACCUUGUGGGGUACCUUUUGCUACAAAGUAAUGCCGUUUGGACUGAAGAACGCAAGGGCAACAUACCAACGAGCCAUGGUAAAUUUAUUCCACGACAUGAUGCAUAAGGAUAUUGAGGUAUACGUUGAUGAUAUGAUUGCUAAGUCGCGUACAGAAAAAGAGCACAUUGAGGUCUUGAAAAGAUUGUUCUUGAGAUUGAGAAAAUUUCAGUUGAAGCUCAAUCCAGCAAAGUGUACCUUUGGAGCUAGAUCAGGAAAACUAUUGGGUUUCGUAGUCAGUAAAAAGGGAAUAGAAGUUGAUUCAGACAAAGUCAGGGCAAUACAAGAUUUGCCUCCACCACGUACUCAGAAGGAAGUUCUAGGAUUCCUAGAUCGCUCGGUUUAUUUCACAACUGACUGAGAAAUGUGAUCCUAUCUUUCGCCUCCUCAAAAAGCACAAUCAAGGUACUUUGGAUGAAGAAUGUCAGAAUGCUUUUGAAAAGGUCAAGCAGUAUUUUUUGAAUGCCCCGGUAUUAUGUCCACCAAGCCCAGAUAAACCGUUGAUACUAUACUUGUCAGUGUUCAGUAACUCUAUGGGAUGUGUGCUUGGUCAGCAUGACGAGUCAGGGAAAAAGGAGAAGAUAAUUUAUUAUCUCAGUAAGAAAUUCACUAACUGUGAAAUAAGAUAUCCACCAAUUGAAAAGUUGUGCUGUACGCUGAUUUGGACAACUCAGAGAUUAAGACAGUACAUGCUAUACCAUACCACUUGGCUCAUCUCAAAACUUGAUCCAUUGAAAUACAUGAUGGAGUCAACGGCUCUAAAUGGAAGGAUGGCGAGAUGGCAAAUUUUGCUUUCAAAGUUUGAUAUAGUCUACAUAAGUCGGAAAGCUAUAAAAGGAAGUGCGGUAGCAGACUUCUUGGCCAGUAGGGCUCUAGAGGAUUAUGAGCCAUUGAACUUUGAUUUUCCAAAUGAGGAGUUAAUGUGUGUAGCAAUGACCAAAGAUUCUCCUUGGAAGCUAAAUUUUGAUGGGGCCUCUAAUGUAGUCGGAAAUGGAAUUGAGGCGGUCUUGGUAUCCCCGAAUGGCGAUCAUUACCCAUUCACGUGCAAGUUGGACUUUGAUUGUACAAACAAUAUGGCUGAGUAUGAAGCAUGCAUCAUGGGACUUCAAGCAGCCAUAGAGCGAGGUAUAAAAUCCUUAAAAGUAUAUGGAGAUUCUGCGUUGGUAAUUUAUCAGCUUACAGGUGAAUGGGAGACAAGGGACCCUAAAUUGAUCAAUUAUAGAAAGAUAGUUUUGGAGUUACUUAAGGAGUUUGAUGACAUCACCUUCAAUUAUCUCCCACGAGACGAAAAUUAUAUGUCAGAUGCUUUAGCAACUUUGGCCUCAAUGAUUAAGGCGAAUAAAGAGGAAGAGAUGAGACCGAUUCAAAUGAGUGUCUACGAGGCUCCAGCUCAUUUUUGUAACAUUGAAAAGGAAGAAAAGGAUGAUAACCCUUGGUAUCAGGAUAUAUUACGAUAUGUGAGAGAUCGUAAAUACCCUGAACAGGCUAAUGAAAAUGACAAAAGAACUUUGAGAAGGUUAUAUUGCGACAAUGUCUUGGAUGGGGAUAUCCUGUACAAGAGAAGGAAAGACCAAGUACUUUUGAGAUGCGUCGAUGCUGUAGAAGCUAAGCUAAUUUUAGAAGAAGUUCAUGAAGGUGUAUGUGGGACGCAUGCAAAUGGGUUCACGAUGGCAAGGAAAAUAUAAGGUUUGGCUAUUAUUAGGCCACUAUGGAAGGGAACUGUAUCAACUAUACCAAGAAAUGCCAUAAGUGUCAGAUUUAUAGGGACAAAAUUCAUGUACCACCUUGACCUUUGCAUGUUAUGACCUCUCCAUGGCCCUUUUCCAUGUAGGGCAUGGAUGUCAUUGGACCAAUAUCACCGAAAGCUUCAAAUGGACAUCGAUUUAUCUUCGUGGUAAUUAACUACUUUACAAAAUGGGUAGAGGCCACCUCUUAUACGAAUGUUACUAAGUCAGCAGUGAGUCGAUUCUUGAAGAAAGAGAUCAUUUGUCGGUACGGAAUACCUGAGAAGAUCAUAUCAGACAAUGCGUUGAACUUGAACAACAAAAUGAUAGCAAAGGUUUGCGACCAGUUCAAGAUCAAGCAUCACAAUUCUUCUCCCUAUCGCAAUGGGGCCGUGGAGGCCGCCAACAAGAACAUUAAGAAAAUACUAGGGAAGAUGACUGAGACCUAUAGAGAUUGGCAUGAGAAGCUAUCGUUUGCACUCCUAGCCUAUCGAACAUCUGUCAGAACCUCUACUGGGGCAACCCCAUUCUCGUUAGUUUAUGAGAUGGAAGCAGUGUUACCUAUUAAAGUAGAAAUACCUUCUCUUCAAAUUUUGACGGAGAUAAGGUUAGAUGAAGCUGAAUAGGUUCAAUCGCGAUAUGACCAGUUGAAUUUGAUUGAGGAGAAGAGGUUAAGAGCCAUUCGACAUGGUUAGAUAUAUCAGAAGCGAAUGAUGCGAGCUUAUGAUAAGAAAGUUCGACUAAGAGAAUUCCACGAGGGAGACCUUGUACUGAAAAAGAUCCUUCCUAUUCAAAAAGACUUUAGGGGGAAAUGGAUGCCGAAUUGGGAGGGACCGCAUGUCGUGAAGAAAACUUUCUCUGACGGUGCAUUGAUCUUAACAGAAAUGGAUGGGAAAAGUUUACCCAACCCAGUGAACUCAGACUCAGUUAAAAAAUACUUUGUCUAAAGGGAAGGAGAAUCCAAGGUGAAAGCCCGCAAAGGGCGCCUUGAGAUUUCAAAAAAAAAAAAACGGAGAGGCCAAGGUGAAAACCCGCAAAGGGCACCUUGUGACCAAAGGGGUUUUGAGUUGAAAACUCGAGAGGGCAGCUCAAAUUUUGAAGAAUACGCAGUGAUCUUGCUAUAUUUGAUUCAAUAAAAAGCGAAGCACGUUGCAUAUUGGGGCAUCAACAAAGUACUUUGAAUCUUUUAAACACAUGUUGAGCUCAAGAAAGACUUCAUGGAGCUGGUGUAUAGACACUCAAGCGGCGAUAUCUUGGGAAUCUAACUUUUAUCCUGUUUGCUAUCUUUAGAUUCUACUUCUUCUUAAAGAUAGGCUUUCAAAUUAAUUUCCUUUGUAAAUUCAUUCAAAUCCAAUUAUUCUUAAAAGUUUAUUCAUCUUCCAUUAUUCUUUAAGUAUGUUGCAUUGAAAUAAUGAUAGAUGAAUUAAAUAUGUUCACAAACGAAGUUUUGCGCAUUACUCUAGAAUUUCUAGAUAAUACAAGAAACUAAGACAGGAUAAUUGUUCGAGAAAUUCACGUAAGUAAGGAGUGAAGGAACUCGAGGGAUUUCUUUCUUCCAGUCUAAAAGGAAAAUGGACAAAACCAACGAUUCGACUUUAAAGAAAGAUUGUCUUACAAACAUCCUUAGUGGAUCGUAGCAUUGGAGGAAGGGAACAAGCCUACAAGCUGAGCAAGAAUGAUACAAAAGAAGGAAUGAGUGAUGACGUUUAGGAUAGGGGUCAUAUUCACAACAUUUUGCAUCAUAACAUGUUUAAUUAAGAACAUUCGACUCACUUCGAUCAUAGCAUCCUACAGGUUAUCAAAGAUUGGCACGCCUUAAUUCCCUAAGCAGUAGGGUAAUAGGCCGUAGCAUAGCAGAUCUCACCUUCAGAUGUUUAUACUGAAGGAGAUCCAAGAGGAUUUGGCAUCCUUGUGCUUACAAGGAGUGAAUCGAAGACAUAGCUAAUUUAGCUUUCACGUGUUUACGAUGAAGCAAAUCUAAGAUGAUUUGGCAUCUCUGUAUUGUCAGAGAACAAAUCAAAGUCUGGCAUCUCUACUUUGACGGGGAGAAGAUACAUAGCAGAUCUCACUUUCAGAUGUUUAUACUAAAGGAGAUCCGAGAUGAUUUGGCAUCCUUGUGCUUAUAAGGAACGAAUCGAAGACAUAGUUGAUUUGGCUUUCACGUGUUUAUGAUGAAGCAAAUCUAAGAUGAUUUGGCAUCUCUGUAUUGUCUGAGAACAAAUCGAAGUCUGGAUCUCCACUUCGACGGGGAGCAGAUACAUAGCAGAUCUCACCUUCAGAUAAUUUCACUGAAGCAAGAUCCAAGAUGAUUUGGCAUUCUUGUGCUUACAAGGAACAAAUCGAAGACAUAGUUGAUUUGGCUUUCACGUGUUUACGAUGAAGCAAAUCUAAGAUGAUUUGGCAUCUUUGUAUUGUCAGAGAACAAAUUGAAUUCUGGCAUCUCCACUUCGAUGGGGAGCAGAUACAUAGUAGAUCUCACCUUCAAAUAAUUUCACUGAAGCAAUAUCCAAGAUGAUUUGGCAUUCUUGUGCUUACAAGGAACAAAUCGAAGACAUAGCUGAUUUGGCUUUCACGUGUUUACGAUGAAGCAAAUCUAAGAUGAUUUGACAUCUCUGUAUUGUCAGAGAACAAAUCGAAGUUUGGCAUCUCCACUUCGACGGGGAGCAGAUACAUGGUAGAUCUCACCUUCAGAUAAUUUCACUGAAGCAAGAUCCAAGAUGAUUUGGCAUCCUUGUGCUUACAAGGAGCAAAUCGAAGACAUAGCUGAUUUGGUUUUCACUUGUUUACGCUGAAACAAAUCUAAGAUGAUUUGGCAUCUCUGUAUUGGCAGAGAGCAGAUAGAAGAUAGCAGAUUUGAUGUCUCUGUGUUCGACGGAGAGUAGAUCGAAGAUAUCAACAUGACAGUUUUGAGUUUGCAAUAAGCAGAUUAAGGACCAUGAUCCGAUAAGGCCGAGCAAAUUUGGUCUUUCUAUGAGUCUUUGCUCGAUUCCUAUUACAUAGCAAUGAGCAAUGAGGGGCAGCUGUAAUAACCCAAAUUUACCCGGGCCUUAAAAUCAGAAACAAAAAAAUGAAUAAAUGUUUAUUUAUUAAAGUCCAGUUACAAUAAGCAGCCCAAAUGCCACUAACCCGUAACCCAGCUAAAACUACCCAAUAACCCGUACAAGAUCCAAUUAACCUAUUACCCCAUUACAUUUUAACCCAACAAUAAACGGGGCCCAAAUGGCCCAAGUUGCUAAACAGAAGACAGAGAAGCCUAGGGUUUCAGAAACCCUAGGCGCCGCAAUCAACGUGUCUCCUCAAUGCCUGUCGUUCCAGCUACUCAUCACAGCCACGAUUCUGUGCUCCAAGUCACGCCGUGAUCACCGCCACUGACAAAUCUACGUUACCAGGGCGAUCAAACGCCAAAUUUUCCUUGCGAAUACCUGCAAAAAAGGAAAAAAGAAC
rnacentral:lncRNA from 1 species